rnacentral:rRNA from 1 species
GACGAACGCUGGCGGCGUGCCUAAUACAUGCAAGUCGAACGCAUUUUCUUUCACCGUAGCUUGCUACACCGAAAGAAAAUGAGUGGCGAACGGGUGAGUAACACGUGGGUAACCUGCCCAUCAGCGGGGGAUAACACUUGGAAACAGGUGCUAAUACCGCAUAAUUCCAUUUACUGCAUGGUAGAUGGUUGAAAGGCGCUUUUGCGUCACUGAUGGAUGGACCCGCGGUGCAUUAGCUAGUUGGUGGGGUAACGGCCUACCAAGGCUGCGAUGCAUAGCCGACCUGAGAGGGUGGUCGGCCACACUGGGACUGAGACACGGCCCAGACUCCUACGGGAGGCAGCAGUAGGGAAUCUUCGGCAAUGGACGCAAGUCUGACCGGGCAGCGCGGCGUGAGUGAAGAAGGUUCUCGGGUCGUAAAACUCUGUUGUUAGAAAAGAACAAGGAUGAGGGUGGAAAGUUCAUCCCUUGACGGUAUCUAACCAGAAAGCCACGGCUAACUACGUG